GUCAGGUGUGGUGGGGGCACACCUUUAAUCCCAGCACUCAGGAGGC
rnacentral:sRNA from 1 species